AGAGUUUGAUCAUGGCUCAGGAUGAACGCUAGCGGCAGGCUUAACACAUGCAAGUCGAGGGGUAACAGGGUCUUCGGACCGCUGACGACCGGCAAACGGGUGCGGAACACGUACGCAACCUACCCUUUACUGGAGCAUAGCCCGAAGAAAUUCGGAUUAACACUCCAUAGUAUUCCAGUCUGGCAUCAGAAGGGAAUUAAAAAUUUAUUGGUAGAGGAUGGGCGUGCGUCCCAUUAGCUAGUUGGUGCGGGUAACGGCCCACCAAGGCAACGAUGGGUAGCUGAUGUGAGAGCAUGAUCAGCCACACGGGCACUGAGACACGGGCCCGACUCCUACGGGAGGCAGCAGUGAGGAAUAUUGGUCAAUGGGCGAGAGCCUGAACCAGCCAUGCCGCGUGAGGGAUGAAGGCGUUCUGCGUUGUAAACCUCUUUUAUUAGGGAAGAAACCUCAGUAUUCUUAUUGAGCCGACGGUACCUGAUGAAUAAGCACCGGCUAACUCCGUGCCAGCAGCCGCGGUAAUACGGAGGGUGCAAGCGUUAUCCGGAUUCACUGGGUUUAAAGGGUGUGUAGGCGGAUCUUUAAGUCCGUGGUGAAAUCUCCGAGCUUAACUCGGAAACUGCCAUGGAUACUAUUGGUCUUGAAUCUUGUUGAGGUGGGCGGAAUACAUCAUGUAGCGGUGAAAUGCUUAGAUAUGAUGUAGAACACCGAUUGCGAAGGCAGCUCACUAAGCAAGUAUUGACGCUGAGGCACGAAAGCGUGGGGAUCAAACAGGAUUAGAUACCCUAGUAGUCC
rnacentral:rRNA from 1 species